AGAGUUUGAUCCUGGCUCAGAACGAACGCUGGCGGCAGGCUUAACACAUGCAAGUUGAACGGGAUUUGUAUGGUGCUUGCACCAUGUAAUGAGAGUAGCGCACUGGUGAGUAACACGUGGGAACAUACCUUGAAGUGGGGGACAACAGUUGGAAACGACUGCUAAUACCGCAUAAUCCCUGAGGGGGAAAGAUUUAUCGCUUUAAGAUUGGCCCGCGGAAGAUUAGGUAGUUGGUGGGGUAAAGGCCUACCAAGCCGACGAUCUAUAGCUGGUCUGAGAGGACGAACAGCCACAUUGGAACUGAGACACGGUCCAGACUCCUACGGGAGGCAGCAGUGAGGAAUAUUGGGCAAUGGAGGAAACUCUGACCCAGCCAUGCCGCGUGAGUGAAGAAGGUUUUCGAAUUGUAAAGCUCUUUCGGAUGGGACGAUGAUGACGGUACCAUCUAAAGAAGCCCCGGCAAACUUCGUGCCAGCAGCCGCGGUAAUACGAAGGGGGCAAGCGUUGUUCGGAAUUACUGGGCGUAAAGGGUGUGUAGGCGGAUUUGUAAGAUAGUGGUGAAAUACCUGAGCUCAACUUAGGAAUUGCCAUUAUAACUAUAGAUCUGGAGUGACAGAGAGGAUAUUGGAAUACCCAGUGUAGAGGUGAAAUUCGUAGAUAUUGGGUAGAACACCAGUGGCGAAGGCGAGUAUCUGGCUGUCAACUGACGCUGAGGCACGAAAGCAUGGGGAUCAAACAGGAUUAGAUACCCUGGUAGUCCAUGCUGUAAACGAUGAAUGCUAGUUGUCGGCAAAAGCCGGUGACGCAGUUAACGCGAUAAGCAUUCCGCCUGGGGAGUACGGUCGCAAGAUUAAAACUCAAAG
rnacentral:rRNA from 1 species